rnacentral:rRNA from 1 species
GACGAACGCUGGCGGCGUGCUUAACACAUGCAAGUCGAACGGAAAGGCCUCUUUCGGGGAGUACUCGAGUGGCGAACGGGUGAGUAACACGUGAGUAACCUGCCCUUGACUUUGGGAUAACUUCAGGAAACUGGGGCUAAUACCGGAUAGGAGCUCCUGCUGCAUGGUGGGGGUUGGAAAGUUUCGGCGGUUGGGGAUGGACUCGCGGCUUAUCAGCUUGUUGGUGGGGUAGUGGCUUACCAAGGCUUUGACGGGUAGCCGGCCUGAGAGGGUGACCGGCCACAUUGGGACUGAGAUACGGCCCAGACUCCUACGGGAGGCAGCAGUGGGGAAUAUUGCACAAUGGGUGGAAGCCUGAUGCAGCAACGCCGUGUGCGGGAUGACGGCCUUCGGGUUGUAAACCGCUUUCGCUCAUGACGAAGCUUUGUGUGACGGUAGUGGGUAAAGAAGCACCGGCUAACUACGUG